UGAGGAACCCACCCCGGAGACCGGGAUAACCCUCCGGAAGGAGAGCUAAUACCGGAUGUCCUCAUCGGAUCGCAUGUUCUGAUGAGGAAAUGGAUUCCGCUCCGGGACGGCCUCGCGGCCUAUCAGCUAGUUGGUGAGGUAACGGCCCACCAAGGCGACGACGGGUAGCUGGU
rnacentral:rRNA from 1 species